UUUUAAGUCCUGUCUGUCCUAGCCCUAUACAUAAAGCACAACCAUACACUCCAUCAUCGAUUACUUCCACUAUGGAUACUCUCCUCAUCUGUUAUCAUCUUCCAUGGCUCCCCAUAAUCCUCAACAAGAUGAUCACGUUUUCAUCUCUCGUGAUACCAACUUUGCGUUGCAUGGUGAGAUUAUGUUGCUUAUUUUUCUCCUACUUUUUGCCCUCUUCCUUUCCUUCCUGCUCUUCUUCCUCUACAUAAAAGGCUCCCGAAGUAAUGCUAAUCUGCGAGAUUAUUCAUCCCAAUAAGUCUGACCAACUAAAUUCUUCGCUUUGCACACCAAAACCAUUCACUGCACUGCAUGAAUCCACCAGCGUAACUGUGACUAGUGGUACAGUAAUACUAUCAAACGGAAGCGUGAUUUAAGGCUUUGAGGUUUGGUUUCUCUCUCAUAUCACUCGUGGAGUACUAGGCAAGGCAACCAGGGAUGAAUCGCCACAUAACGAUGCCUAACAUAUUGCCAUGAAAUGGGAGCUGCACAACUAAUGGCGGAGAAUACAUAUAAAUUCAAUCUAUUUAUAUGGAUUUGUAGGUCUGAUUUUUAAAAAUCCUAUGUACAUGUGGAAUAUUAUGUAUUAAUAGGGAAGCUAAUGAGGUUACCGAUAAAUUGGCCAAGGAUGGUGUUAAUACAAUGUCCCCUACUGGUGCAAUGUUGACAGAGGGAGUGAGAUUGAUGAGAACAUCGAAGGCGUGCGGUUGAAGAUCCUUUGGAAGGUCUUGGCUUUUGUCCACACGAUGUUGGGCUGCUUUUUUUUUUGCCCUUUAUCUGUUUGCUGUCCUUGUUUUAUUUACUUAUUUGUUUUAUUUGCUAAUGAGGUUGCCGAGAAAUAGAUAUAUGAUUUGCAAAUGGGUUAUGGGCCUGUUGGUGUUAUGCCUCAUUUAGAAGGUCGAGUGGUGGAUGCAAUAAGGACUUGUACAAACUAAAAACUGGGUCCUUCCAUGCCUCGAAUGCUUUGAGGCCUUGAGGAUUUCAAAUUCUAGUUUCACAUUGCCUUUGAAAAAGUGAUUUUCACAAGUGUGAUUUAGGAUUUUAUGUAUUAAGGAUGAUUGAAAGUUUUUAUUUUCAUUUUUAAUAUUUAAUAUUUUAAAUAAAUUUGAUAAUUAUUUUAAUUUUAUUAGGUUGAUUUUAUUAAAAAUUUGAAAUAAAU
rnacentral:lncRNA from 1 species